AAUAGAUACCCCGGUAGUCCACGCCCUAAACGAUGUCUACUAGUUGUCGGGGGGGUAACUCCUUCGGUAACGCAGCUAACGCGUGAAGUAGACCGCCUGGGGAGUACGGUCGCAAGAUUAAAACUCAAAGGAAUUGACGGGGACCCGCACAAGCGGUGGAUGAUGUGGAUUAAUUCGAUGCAACGCGAAAAACCUUACCUACCCUUGACAUGCCACUAACGAAGCAGAGAUGCAUUAGGUGCCCGAAAGGGAAAGUGGACACAGGUGCUGCAUGGCUGUCGUCAGCUCGUGUCGUGAGAUGUUGGGUUAAGUCCCGCAACGAGCGCAACCCUUGCCAAUAGUUGCUACGAAAGGGCACUCUAUUGGGACUGCCGGUGACAAACCGGAGGAAGGUGGGGAUGACGUCAAGUCCUCAUGGCCCUUAUGGGUAGGGCUUCACACGUCAUACAAUGGCUGGUACAGAGGGUUGCCAACCCGGCGAGGAGGAGCCAAAUCCCCGACAAAAACCAGUCGUAGUCCGGAUUGCAGUCUGCAACUCGA
rnacentral:rRNA from 1 species